rnacentral:sRNA from 1 species
UAUGAGCAAAAUCGUGAAUAUGGCGCAC